rnacentral:SRP_RNA from 1 species
GCCGGGUGCGGUGGCUCACGCCUGUAAUCCCAGCACUUUGGGAGGCCGAGGCGGGUGGAUCACCUGAGGUCAGGAGUUUGAGCCUGGCCAACAUGGUGAAACCCCGUCUCUA